CUGUUCUCCUUCGAUUGAAGGCCGUUAUAUAUUUAUUGAAGCUCUUCGUCGGAGUUGCACAAGGUGAAGGAUAGUAAAGAGAACUGCAGGAAAUAGAGGCAAUACUCAAGACUCCACACUAGUUUCACACUAGUUUUUCUGUUGAGUUAUUGUUGUAUUUAUUUAUUUUACUUAGGAUCGAAUAGUACGAGAUAGGUAGUUAGUUAUCUGUGUUUUGUGAAUUUGUUCAAUUGUAUUCACGAGAAUUGUUAUUUUGUAUCACAUUGAUAUGAUUGUAUGAAUAUUUUAUUAUUGAUAAAUGUUCGAUAGACUUGUAAUAAUGUGGUACAGCCUUACAGGUUUGUGAGAAUUUCAUUGAUGUCGACAAAAUUGAUGUUG